GAUUAAUGAAUUUUUGUGUGUUCGUUUUCUGAUUGGUAGGUGGCCAAAAGUGUUGUUUUGUUUGUGUUAUAUUUCCUAUAUAUCGUGGAGGAAAGGGAUGAGGAGCUCAGUUCUCCUUUCUCCAUUUUUCCUUGUUCUAUCUGUCUGAGGAUAAAGGUGUUAACAUCUGUGGUUGUGGAAAAAACCAUGUGUAGACUGGAGCUCUCUAAGACGACUCACCAGCUUUCCGAGGAAACAUGUAAGUGUUCGAAUUAACAAAGAGGAUUUGAGAAGAUUCAGUUGGAUAUGAAAUACUGGCUCAAUAGAGCAUUAUCGGGAAUAUGAAACCGUGGCUCUUCAGAGCGUAUUAUGGAUCAGAAGCUAACUCGAGGAAGGAUGUCCAAAUGUCUAUAAGAGAAUGUGAGUUUUCACUUCAAGUGAAUUGGGGCGUGGACCGAGCCAUUUACAAGGCGAAUUGAAAAUUAGUGAGACUAUGCAAACUGAAGGAACACAUGAAAUGCUCUGGCGUAGAUUAUGAUCUUCAGUUCUGCUAUUGUGGAUAAGUAUCAGUUAUCGACCGAUUGUUGCAUGUACGAAUAUGUAUUCAAUAUCCACCAAUGUGUAGUGUAAGUGCAGGCUUGUUUGUUUAUGUUCAACAGGCCUAACUGUAGGCUUAUAUUUGUACUUAUCUUCUUUGAUAACCUGUACUAUUGUGUUCUGGGAAACCUUAGGUUGAAAGGUUUCUAUUGUUUUGGAACUCACUAAGUUCAUUUGAACUUACUUUGUUUCCUCUGUUCUUUUUAGGUUUAAGGUCAUUUGUGUUCAUAAAGGGACUCAGCCAAAUUGUCAUGGUUUUUAUGAGCUUUCCUUUGUUCCUUCUAUAACAUGUAUAUAUUAGGCAGUUAUCAUAUUUGUUUAUUUCAUGCAUAUGUUGGUUUAA